rnacentral:rRNA from 1 species
UACGGAGGGUGCAAGCGUUAUCCGGAUUCACUGGGUUUAAAGGGUGCGUAGGUGGGUUGGUAAGUCAGUGGUGAAAUCUCCGAGCUUAACUUGGAAACUGCCAUUGAUACUAUCAGUCUUGAAUACCGUGGAGGUCAGCGGAAUAUGUCAUGUAGCGGUGAAAUGCUUGGAUAUGACAUAGAACACCAAUUGCGAAGGCAGCUGACUACGCGAAUAUUGACACUGAUGCACGAAAGCGUGGGGAUCAAACAGG